rnacentral:rRNA from 1 species
GAUGAACGCUGGCGGCGUGCCUAAUACAUGCAAGUCGAGCGAACAGAUGAGGAGCUUGCUCCUCUGACGUUAGCGGCGGACGGGUGAGUAACACGUGGAUAACCUACCUAUAAGACUGGGAUAACUUCGGGAAACCGGAGCUAAUACCGGAUAAUAUAUUGAACCGCAUGGUUCAAUAGUGAAAGACGGUUUUGCUGUCACUUAUAGAUGGAUCCGCGCCGCAUUAGCUAGUUGGUAAGGUAACGGCUUACCAAGGCAACGAUGCGUAGCCGACCUGAGAGGGUGAUCGGCCACACGGGAACUGAGACACGGUCCAGACUCCUACGGGAGGCAGCAGUAGGGAAUCUUCCGCAAGGGGCGAAAGCCUGACGGAGCAACGCCGCGUGAAUGAUGAAGGUCUUCGGAUCGUAAAACUCUGUUAUUAGGGAAGAACAAAUGUGUAAGUAACUAUGCACGUCUUGACGGUACCUAAUCAGAAAGCCACGGCUAACUACGUG